rnacentral:rRNA from 1 species
AUUGAACGCUGGCGGCAUGCCUUACACAUGCAAGUCGAACGGUAACAGGUCUUCGGAUGCUGACGAGUGGCGAACGGGUGAGUAAUACAUCGGAACGUGCCCGAUCGUGGGGGAUAACGAAGCGAAAGCUUUGCUAAUACCGCAUAAGAUCUAAGGAUGAAAGCAGGGGACCGCAAGGCCUUGCGCGAACGGAGCGGCCGAUGGCAGAUUAGGUAGUUGGUGGGAUAAAAGCUUACCAAGCCGACGAUCUGUAGCUGGUCUGAGAGGACGACCAGCCACACUGGGACUGAGACACGGCCCAGACUCCUACGGGAGGCAGCAGUGGGGAAUUUUGGACAAUGGGCGAAAGCCUGAUCCAGCCAUGCCGCGUGCAGGAUGGAGGCCUUCGGGUUGUAAACUGCUUUUGUACGGAACGAAAAGACUCUGGUUAAUACCUGGGGUCCAUGACGGUACCGUAAGAAUAAGCACCGGCUAACUACGUGCCAGCAGCCGCCGUAAAAC